UAAGUUUCUAUUUGGGACAAGUGAAAGC
rnacentral:sRNA from 1 species